CCAAACAGUUCAGACGCUGACUCGACACAAAGCCUGGCCCACUACACAAGAGGUCGGUCGCAAAGACCAAGGUCCCUACCUUCAGACGGCUGACGUUCAGCGGCCAGGACUCUCACGCCCCGAACUGCAGUGUGCUGGUUCAGAACUCCCAUUACAAUACUGAAAAGAAGUGGUGUAAGUGGACACCGUUUUUUUCUUAUUCCUGAACAUAGGAGGAAAGCAAUCAGUCUUGUCAAGAGAGUGAGAGAGCACAAAUAGGGGGAGCUGCAAAAGGAGAGGGAGAAGCUGCAAAAGGAGAGG